GCUGGGAUUGUUCAAUCGGUAGAUCAUGAGACUCUUAAUCUCACGGUUGUGGGUUCAAGACAAAAGAUUCCUGCAUUGCAGAG